AGUAUCUCUGUUCAGCUAUUAGCCAAGUGGUGGUGCUCUGUAGCUCAGUUGGUAGAGCAUGGCGCUUGCAAUGCCAAGACAGUGAGUUUGAUUCCCAGGACCACCCAUAUGUAAAAAUAUAUGCGCACAUGACUAAGUCGCUUUGAAUGAAAGUGUCUGCUAAAUGGCACUGAAGUGUGACAUAGAAAGAAUCCAAGUGUGCUAUUUCCCAUUCAGUAUUAACAUGGUGAUGGACUGCUGCUGGAUGUGAACCAGUGUGUUGGUUACAGGGCCGUCCUGGGUUGAAUGGUGUCAAAGGAGAGAGGGGGGAUUCAGCGGGAGGGACUGGAGGAUAUGGAGUAAGUAUGACUCCGCUGGUUGGUGAUUGAUGGGAUUCAUACAUGAAAGACUGUUGGGAUGCAACCCAGAGGUCAGCAUGUCAAAUCAUUCACAAAAGCAGUGGUAUGGUUAGACCGUCAUGACCCAGACAGGGCAUCAGUUUAACCCAGAUUGAUCCAUGUUUUUAGGGUCCUCCAGGACCACCUGGUCCACCCGGACCCCCCGGGCCAGCAGUACCUCUGGACAGGUUCAAUAGGGAUGAUGUCUCACGGUUAUAUCCUGACUCCAAAGGAGACAAAGGUGAUCGUGGAGUACCAGGAAUACCCGGGGUACCAGGUACAGUAAAACCAGCUAGUUAUUUACCUCCGCUGGCCUUAGGUGUACUAACACACGAGAUUGAGCUGAUUGAACUCACGUUCUAUCGUCUCCACUCUAGGUCUCACGUCCAACUUUGACAUCUACACCUUCAAGGUAAGUGACGUAACGACAAAGGAGCUCUACACUCACAACCCGCCAUGCGUCUGUAUGUGUUUGACGUGAGGUCAAAUGACGUGGUGUGUGUGUGUGUCCCUGCAGAGGGAGAUGAAGGGAGAGAGAGGAGACUCAGGGAUGAAGGGGGAGAAGGGCGAGCCAGCCGGAGGAUAUUAUGGCGGAGGUUACGGUGGACAGGGUGGUCAACCUGGACCUCCAGGACCUCCGGGGCCAAAGGGAGAGUCCAUCAUCGGUCCUUCAGGGCCCCAGGGCCCUCCAGGUAACUCAGGAAGAGGGUACGAAGGCAGGCAAGGGAACCCAGGCCCACCGGGGCCCCCCGGACCUUCAGGAUCAUCCUCCUCACCUGGAGCCUACAGGCCAACACAGAGUGAGGCAUACUCUCUCGCACACACACUCAUACAUACAGUACAUACAGUACAUACAUACAGUACAUACAUACAGUACAUAGGCAGGAACACAACCUUCUGGUGA
rnacentral:lncRNA from 13 species